rnacentral:sRNA from 1 species
GGCCUAACCCUCGUAAUUUAAUCUGCGAGGUAUGGCGUAAAAACCUGUUGAAAAUACUGAACUCCACGUUCAGCAAUCUUUCAACAGGUCAUAUCGGGAAACCGGUAUGGAGCCGCAAGGCUC